GGGCCCGCACAAGCGGUGGAGCAUGUGGUUUAAUUCGAUGCAACGCGAAGAACCUUACCAGGGUUUGACAUAGUACGAAGUUUUUUGAAAAAAACCACCUUCGGGAACGUACAUACAGGUGGUGCAUGGCUGUCGUCAGCUCGUGCCGUGAGGUGUCAGGUUAAGUCCUAUAACGAGCGCAACCCCUAUCGUUAGUUGCCAGCGAGUAAUGUCGGGAACUCUAACGAAACUGCCAGUGCAAACUGUGAGGAAGGUGGGGAUGACGUCAAAUCAUCACGGCCCUUACGUCCUGGGCUACACAUGUGCUACAAUGGCCGGUACAGAGAGCAGCCACUUCGCAAGGUGGAGCGAAUCCUUAAAACCGGUCUCAGUUCGGAUCGGGGUCUGCAACUCGGCCCGUGAAGCUGGAAUC
rnacentral:rRNA from 1 species